rnacentral:rRNA from 1 species
AGCUUUUUGUGUAUAUUAAUUAAAAGUAUUUUCUGCUCAGUGUUUUUAAAUAGCCGCAGUAAUUUGACUGUGCAAAGGUAGCAUAAUCAUUUGUUUCAUAAUUAGGGACUAGAAUGAAUGGAAUUAUGAGAAUUUUUCUUUUUUGAUUUUUUUAAUUUAAUUUGUAGUUAAUGUGAAGAUACAUUAAUUUUUUAAAAAGACAAGAAGACCCUUUUGAGCUUUAUUAUCUAUAAUAUUUUUUAUAUUUAAAUAAUUUAAUUGGGGCGAUUAAAGAAGAAAAAUUUAUUAUCUUCUUUUCAUUAUAUUGAACCAAAUUUUUUGGUUUUUAGAAUAAGUUACCAAAGGGAUAACAGCGUAAUUUUUUUUGAGAGUUCUUAUUAAAAAAAAAGAUUACGACCUCGAUGUUGACUUAUAAUUUCCUAUUGGUGCAGUAUUUAAAAUAGGUAGGUCUGUUCGACCUUUAAAAUUUU